CGACACCCACUGCCAUCGCCGAAAAAAGCACUGCCAGUAAGGGUUUUGAGUUUGGUUUACUUUUCAAUGAGAUUCCAGAAGAUUUAUUGUCGUUGCAUGUUAGUUUCAGUUGCUAUCGCUGGAGUCCAAACGCCGCUGCCACUUGAGGUGGCUUUCGGGGCUACCUCCGAACCGGUUCGGAGACUGCCGCUGCUUCAGUUCAGCCAUUCUCCCUCUGUCUUGGGUUGUGUAUCGAUGCUUGCGUGUCGUGCUCGGAGUUUGCGGCUGCUUCGUUUUGCUAGUUCAGUAAGUAUUUAUGUUU